GUGAAGAACGUAGCGAAAUGCGAUAAGUAAUGUGAAUUGCAGAAUUCAGUGAAUCAUCGAAUCUUUGAACGCACCUUGCGCUCCUUGGUAUUCCGAGGAGCAUGCCUGUUUGAGUGUCAUGAAAUUCUCAACCUUUUCAGCUUUCUUUGUUGAUCAGGCUUGGAUGUGGGAGUAUGUGGGCUUCUCAGAAGUCGGCUCUCCUGAAAUGCAUUAGCGGGACCUUUGUUGCCUGGCUUUGGUGUGAUAAUUAUCUACGCCAUUGUAGUCAAGCAGCUUAAAAUGAGGUUUCAGCUUCUAACCGUCUCCCCUGAGACAACUUUUUGACAAUUUGACCUCAAAUCAGGUAGGACUACCCGCUGAACUUAAGCAUAUCAAUAAGCGGAGGA
rnacentral:misc_RNA from 1 species